GUCUAUGGCCAUGCCACCCUGAACAAGCCUGAUCCCGUUUGACCUCAGAAGCUAAGCAGGGUCGGGCCUGAUGAGUACUUGGAUGGGAGACUACCUACGAAGACCAGGUGCUGUAGGUG
rnacentral:rRNA from 1 species